CAGUAGCCGCGGUAAUACGAGGGGGGCGAGCGUUGUUCGGAAUUAUUGGGCGUAAAGGGUGCGUAGGCGGUUUGACAAGUCUUAUGUGAAAUCUCUGGGCUCAACCCAGAGUCUGCAUGGGAAACUGUCGGGCUUGAGUAUGGGAGAGGUGAGUGGAAUUUCCGGUGUAGCGGUGAAAUGCGUAGAUAUCGGAAGGAACACCUGUGGCGAAAGCGGCUCACUGGACCAUUACUGACGCUGAUGCACGAAAGCUAGGGGAGCAAACAGGAUUAGAUACCCGCGUAGUCCCUGUCUCUUAUAC
rnacentral:rRNA from 1 species